rnacentral:rRNA from 1 species
GACGAACGCUGGCGGCGUGCUUAACACAUGCAAGUCGAACGGAAAGGCCCCUUUGGGGGUACUCGAGUGGCGAACGGGUGAGUAACACGUGAGUAACCUGCCCUUGACUUCGGGAUAACUUCAGGAAACUGGGGCUAAUACCGGAUAGGAAUCCUUGCUGCACGGUGGGGGUUGGAAAGCUUCGGCGGUUUUGGAUGGACUCGCGGCUUAUCAGCUUGUUGGUGGGGUAGUGGCUUACCAAGGCUUUGACGGGUAGCCGGCCUGAGAGGGCGACCGGCCACAUUGGGACUGAGAUACGGCCCAGACUCCUACGGGAGGCAGCAGUGGGGAAUAUUGCACAAUGGGCGGAAGCCUGAUGCAGCAACGCCGCGGGCGGGAUGACGGCCUUCGGGUUGUAAACCGCUUUCAGCAGGGGCGAAGCUUGUGGUGACGGUACCUGCAGAAGAAGCACCGGCUAACUACGUG